AUUGCUUUGUCAUCUGCAGCAACUGUGCCUCGUAGUAAAAGAAAUUUACAGGCACAGUAACCUGCUCGACCUGAAACAAUGAGCAACAAGAAGUAAUUUCAUUGUGUAGUGUAUGGGGUUUCACAUUUUCCCUUUGGCCACAGCAUCAUUUCCCAAUUCAUGAAGAGCAACCAGGAGAUGACAACAGUUUCUGACUGCCUCUAUUGCUAGGACUGGCACAGUUUCUGGAGACGUCGCAUCAAUGGCAGGCCUCCGACAAAGCAAUCAAGAUUAUUUGAAUAAUGCUGAAACUUGUGUGUUAAUGCAGAGGGGCAGAUCACUGAAGGGAACGCAGGACAGCCUUAUUCCUGUCACACAGGAGCAAAUUUCCUCCCAUGCUCAGUGGCAGCUCCCACGUUUCAGUGCUUGGCUGCACCACGGGGCUCCCUUUGAGAGCCAAAGCUGUGCAGUCACCAACCUGGUCCAGGACCACCAGCAGCACCGUGAUAGAGGAAUGAAGGACAAUCGUAGCUGGAUUACGUCCACAUCCAAAUGCCUGAGAUGCUGAAGCGGACAAUUGCCUUCUGGUUCUUACCAAAGCUUUUUUGGGGGUUUAAGUGCUUCACUGAUAGCUGGGUAUACAAUUAUAGGUGGAUUAGAGAAAGCGUUAAUAGGGUAUUUUUGCUCUAAUCUUCUCUCAAUUGUUAAUAUUAAUUAAAGGACUCUUUCCUCUUCAUUAUACAAUAAACAUGAACCACUCUUAAAAACGAUCAUUUUCGUUUACUAGCUACUUAGUGCUGCUUUUUUCAGGAUUCCCUCUUCUCUCCCCUCCACCCUGCCAUGAGAAGAGGAGCGGAAAGCAGGGCAGGAGCACGGCACACACUACAAGGAGGUGAGAAUGACCCCAUCACCAACCUCAUCGACCUCAUGACCUCAUCGCAUUCAGAGCUGGCCACAACACCUACCUCCUUGAGCUGGUUUCCCCUUAAGGCAUUUGUCAAAACACAAAAAGGCAGCACAAAAUCUACAAAGGAAUCCAGCCGUUUCGGCCAGAAACUGGGAAGAAGUGAGACACAGGAUUAUUGUUCCAGCUAAAUACCAGAAAAUGUUUUAGUCCCCCUGAUUAAGCACAGAUUCCCACAAGGAGUGCUCCUCCAGUCUUGUCAGAGUGGAUUUGGCUGUGGGACAACAGCAGUUGCCUGUUCUCUUCAUAACCUUGGGAGUCUCAUCACUACAGCCAAGCUUCAGCUUUUUCUGUUGCUUUAAACAUGCCCUUGAGAUGAAUUAUGAGGGGGCUGCUUUGGUAGUUUGCUACCUCCUUCCACAAAGCAAACACGGUGUUUACAUUUAUUAUGUGCUCAGCCACAAUGAACAAGAAGGAUUCGCCAGUUUUCUCAGGGAAGAACCCACAACAGGAGCUAGCUUUCAGAAGACAUUUCUUCUCAACUAUUCUGACUUAUGGCACAGAAACUAGAAAUACAUAAAUUAAGGAAAUAAGUAAUAAAGAAAAACCUACCAUUA